AAAUAAUCUAAAUAUUUUUUGCUUUGUCAUUAUGGGAUAUUGUGUGUAGAUUGUUGAGGGGAAUUUUUUUUUUAAAUAAAUGUUAGAAUAGGGCUGUAAAUGUAACAAAACUUGGAAAAGGUAUUGGUGUCUGAAUACUCUCCGAAGGCGCUGUAGAUUACUAGAAGGUGCAUUUCUUAGUACUAGGUGUCUGAAUACUCUCAGAAGGCGCUGUAGAUUAGUAGAAGGUGCAUUUCUUAGGUCUAGGUGUCUGAAUACUCUCAGAAGGCGCUGUAGAUUAGUAGAAGGUGCAUUUCUUAGGUCUAGGUGUCUGAAUACUCUCCGAUGGCGCUGUAGAUUAGUAGAAUGUGCAUUUCUUAGGUCUAGGUGUCUGAAUACUCUCCGAAGGCGCUGUAGAUUAGUAGAAUGUGCAUUUCUUAGGUCUAGGUGUCUGAAUACUCUCCGAAGGCGCUGUAGAUUAGUAGAAUGUGCAUUUCUUAGGUCUAGGUGUCUGAAUACUCUCAGAAGGCGCUGUAGAUUAGUAGAAGGUGCAUUUCUUAGGUCUAGGUGUCUGAAUACUCUCCGAUGGCGCUGUAGAUUAGUAGAAUGUGCAUUUCUUAGGUCUAGGUGUCUGAAUACUCUCCG
ensembl:lncRNA